UACGAAGGGGGCUAGCGUUGCUCGGAAUCACUGGGCGUAAAGCGCACGUAGGCGGACUGCUAAGUCAGGGGUGAAAUCCUGGAGCUCAACUCCAGAACUGCCCUUGAUACUGGCGGUCUCGAGUCCGGGAGAGGUGAGUGGAACUGCGAGUGUAGAGGUGAAAUUCGUAGAUAUUCGCAAGAACACCAGUGGCGAAGGCGGCUCACUGGCCCGGUACUGACGCUGAGGUGCGAAAGCGUGGGGAGCAAACAGG
rnacentral:rRNA from 1 species